rnacentral:rRNA from 1 species
CUACGGGAGGCACCAGUGGGGAAUAUUGGGCAAUGGGCGCAAGCCUGACCCAGCAACGCCGCGUGAGGGAAGAAUGUCUUCGGAUUGUAAACCUCUGUCCUUAGGGACGAAAAAAAUGACGGUACCUAAGGAGGAAGCUCCGGCUAACUACGUGCCAGCAGCCGCGGUAAUACGUAGGGAGCAAGCGUUGUCCGGAAUUAUUGGGCGUAAAGGGUGCGUAGGCGGUAAUCCAAGUCAGAUGUGAAAGACCCGGGCUUAACUCGGGAGGUGCAUUUGAAACUGGGUUACUUGAGUACAGGAGAGGUAAGUGGAAUUCCUAGUGUAGCGGUGCAAUGCGUAGAUAUUAGGAGGAACACCAGUGGCGAAGGCGACUUACUGGACUGUCACUGACGCUGAGGCACGAAAGCGUGGGGAGCAAACAGGAUUAGAUACCCUUGUAGUC